GUCUCAUGGCUUAAGGACAUUCAGGCAGCAAACCUGGGAAGCUCCCCGUGUCUUCCUUAUGGCAGGACAUGUGAACUGCACUCUUGUGAGCUUUGCUGUGUAGGGACCGGGUGUCCUACAGGAAGGACUGGGUGUCAUGGGGAGAUCCAAGUGGUAGCAUGUGAGGACUUCACCUGAAGGCAAAUCUGAAGAAGUUCAUGGAGUAUGUGCAAAUGCUGAACGUGGAGAAGGUCUGCAGACUCCUGGAGAAGGGCCUGGACCCCAACUUCCAUGAUCCGGAUACUGGAGAGUGUCCCCUGACGGCGGCGGCGCAGCUGGAGCAGGGUGCGGAGAUGAUCAAGG